GGUGGAGGCUUCCAAAGGGAUCGCAUUGAUCUAAUUGAUCAGAUAUGUCAAACAUCAUCCGCAUAGACAUAUGGUGGGUUAUGUUUUCGUCUGUGUAGUCGGAUCAUGCGAUCCCUUCGGACGUUUCCAUC
rnacentral:miRNA from 14 species